GGGCGCUUUGCAUAUGCAAACGAGCUCAUGGCAUCGGGAGGCCUCGCUGUCACCCAGCAACUGUGGCGUGGGAGCCCCAGCCGGGGGGGCACUGAGCCCAGGGGCUUGGGCAGCCAUGGGGGCACUUGGCUGCUAGGGAGGAUGUCCAUAGAAUGUGCACAUGGUGCACUCACACACAUGUGCACGGCCCUUGUGUCCCCACCUUGUGUCCCCAUGUGUGUAUUGGGCGAACUGGGGAAACUGGGGCAGGAGGAGGUGGUACCCACUCUUGGGUGCUCCCUGCAGUGCUGGCCCAGGGGGAGUGGGGGGUUGCGGGGCCUCUGCUUAAUCCUAUUAGUCCUGGCGUGAAAAGGCGUAUUUGUGGCUCUCACAUCUUCAUCGGAUGGUGGGUGGGUGGGCGGGCAUGGCUGGCGCACUGCCACGGAUGUCCCCUCCCCCAGUCUGGGCUGUCCCCCCUAUCUGGCAUCCCAUGGCCGUGCCAGCAUCCUUGUUUCCUGCUGUCCCCAUGUCCUGCUGUCCCCAUACCCCCACUCACAGCUCCCUUGGACUAUAGUGGGCAGUGUGGCCGUGGGGACACAUCCCAAAAUGUGUCUCCCCACUCCCCUCCCAUGUCCCUGCCCAGCACACAUCCACAGCACAGCUUUACACCAUGGUACCCCCCGCACGCACACCGAUGGUGUGUGUGCAUGCUUGGGUGUGCACGUGCACACACACUGCACAUUGACAAAAAUGCAAAUGCAUGUGUAUGCACGUGUGCACACGUUUGUAUGUGCACACUCACUGUGCUUGCACGCCAGUUUGCACGAGCUUCUUGAUGCAUUCAGACGUGCUCACACACGUGAGCAGACCUGCUGACAUACACUCGUGUGCUUGCACACACCCCCAGAAGCACAGAUGUGCAGUUGCACGCACACACAAAUGCACGCACACUGCAGCAUGCAGGGACACACCAACGCACACGUAUGUGCACACAUGUAAGUAUACACGCACAUCUGCGUGCAUGCACCCACACUUCCAAUUGUGGACAUGUGUGCAUGAGGGCGUGUCCGUGCGUGUGCACACGCGUGUGCACGCACACGCACACACAAGUGUUCAGCACACCGCCAGGGGGCGGCAGAGACUAUUUAAAGGGGCCGCGGCUCCGGGGGUGGUCGUUGGCACCCCUUGCCGUGUGGCCGGGCACAAGGUGGGGGUUACGCCGAGGGGGGGGGAGUGAGAGCAGAUGGAGGCAGACCCCAGCCCAGAGGGAAACCGAGCAAGAGCUCGACAUAGGGCGGGGCAAAGAUAGGGGUGCUGAUUUGUUCCCGUGUCCUGCAGCCCCAGGACCUGGAGUCCCCCCCGGCGCACGCCUUCAAGAUGACGAGCUUCAAGAAGGUGAAGGCGUGCGGGAUCUGCCGGCAGGCCAUCACGCGCCAGGGCAGCACCUGCCGAGGCUGCAAGCUCUCCUGCCACACCAAGUGCCAAAGCAAGGCACAGAUGGCUGGACACUGACGUGCAUCUGAGCCCCACAGUCCACCUCUGCCAUCCCUCCCUGCACUGAAGCCCCCUACCCAGAGCUGCAGCUUCCUUUAAAAGUGGGGGAACUGAAUCACAGAGCCCAGCCUGGCCAUGUGAAAUCCCUUGGGUCCCAUCCUCAUCCCUGUGUGUGCAAAAACAUCUGUGCAAGAACAUCUCAUGUGUGUGUGCUCAUUGCAUGGCGGUGCACUGGGGCUGAUCUUUCUCCACUGGCCGUGCUCCAAACCCAGCUUGUUUUCCAAGUACCCCCUGCAGGGGCUUGGAGGGGGGUUUGUCCAUCAUUAAACUGGGUGCUGGAGCAGGGCCAAGGCUGGGCAGUGAGGCACGUCCUGGCCACAGCUGUAGCUCCCAGUGCCCACGGCACCUAUUGUCCCCUCUCACGGGGACCUCUGGCUUUGGGAGGGGGGAUAUGAUGGGCUGGAUGUGGGGUGAUAGGCACACUGUGAUGUAUGGGGUAUGUCUGGGUCCUGUAUCAUGGGCAGGUAGGGAGGACAUGAGUGGGGACAGCAGUGUCCUAAUUGUGUUGUGGGACAGGCUGUCCAUUCCCCAGCUUCUGCGCCUUGCUGCUUCUGUGCUGCACGGCAUAGGGGAGGAUGUGUCCAAUGCACUCAUCCCUGUCCCUAGUGCCCCGUUCAAAGCUAUCCAGCCUUUGGGACAGGUAAUUUGCAACACCUCUGGGUCUGUACAACAGAGCAGGGAGGAAGAAUAAGGCAGCAAUGUGUUCUUGGCCCUGGCAUGGGCCCAGUCAGGGUGUGGGAUGGGGGGCUGAGUGGGGCAGCACUGCCCCCAGCUUGUGGUGCUGCAGUGGGUCCUGGAGGGGAUCGGGUUUUUUUUUUGUUGCUGUUUCCUUUUUCCCCUUCUUGACGUCACCACCAAAAUAUUCAGCCUCUGUCUCAGCUCCGGGGGGGUCAGAUCUGCUGCUGGAGGAGCUGGGGCCCUUCUUGUACCCUCUGGGAGGGGAAAGGGAGUGGGGAUGCUGAGCCUGCCCACAAUCAUUGCACAAGUGAGCAGUGGGGUAUGGGACAUGGGGAGCCUCUCUCCUGGCUCUUUGUUGCCUUGUCCCCUUCUUCUGCUAGCACCAGGAGUGGAGAUGCUCUCCCAGGCUGGGUCUCGCUUUGGGAUGUGGAAGAGUUGUUUUGGGUGGGAGUUACUGGCCAGAUCUGGGGGCGCUGGGGGCCUUGGAGGGUUGACAUGGGGCUGAGCACUGAACCUACUUCCACCACCCUGAGAUAGCUCUGGGAUGCAUUUGGUGUUUGGCUGAGGAUGGAGUUCAGGGAUAAUUUAUAGACUUCAGUGGCUGCGUCCUGUGACGUCACCUUCCCAAGGGACAGCUCCGUUCCUCCUCAGGGACAGCUCCCGCAGGCUGAAGACAGGAACAUGCUGUCAGUGCCCUCCUCUCACCCACUUAUCCUGCUGGGAUGCUGAUGCUUUCCCAUCUGGCUCUGGCUCUAAUGGGAGCCGUCCUGAGGCCGUGUCCUGGGUGCUGGGAUUGUGCCGGAGCUGAGAUUUCUGCUAUAGCUGAGCUGGGCUCUAUGGCUUGCUCCUAGCUCAGGGCAUUCAUUGCUCCUCUGUCUCCACUUGUCCUCCCUGCAGAACCCUCAGCACCCCAACUCCAUCUGUCCAUGCCCAGAUGAUACUGUGGAUGUGGCAGGAGAUGCUCAGGAGAGAACUGCCCCCAUUAAAACCUCUUGCUGCUCCCUCCAAAUGCUUCCAGGGGAAAAUAAGGCACGGGGGGCUGAGCGCAGGCUGUCGGGCAGAAUGUACUCGCUGUGGAGAUCCAUCCUACAGAGGCAGGUGGAAAUCCCUAUGGUUGCGCAGCUGCUCUCUGCCUCAGUUUCUCCAUAUGCGAGUGGCACUCUCCCUGGUUGCAAUGGGAUGGGAUGUGGGCGCUCCCUGGCCAUGCUGGCACAGGAGGUGCAACCCAUGGGACGCUCUGGCUGAUGUGAAGCUCUGGAGAUCACUCCCACCCUGGGGAGAGGGAGGCAGGGAGAGCCCCUUGCUGCCACUCUGUGCCCUGGCUGCAGUCAGGGCCAGCACUGGUGUUCUGGCUGAGCCUAUAGCACCAGAACGGAAAUGCAAACAGGAACAGGGAGGUGUUGGGUGAGAAAAUGUCAACAGAGCUGGGCCGGGUGUCUGGCUCACAGCCCCCCCGGCCUGUUUGCCUUUUUGCGGGCCACUGCAGGGAAGGCUGUGCCAUGAUCCUCGGUGCCCGCAUGCCUACUCGCAUGGUUGAGCUGGGGCUUGGGGUGGGAGAGGAGGAGCGAGGGCAGCGGGGGGUGAUGUGGGGCCAUGGGGCACCCCCACGGUGCACGGCUUCUCCAUCACUUUGCUUUCCAUGGAGGAGGAAUGGUAAACCUUCACUCCGCUUCGGCACCGAGGAGGGUACCAAGAGCCAUUUUUUGGGCGCUCUCCUUGGACUUAGCG